rnacentral:rRNA from 1 species
CCUACGGGAGGCAGCAGUGGGGAAUAUUGCACAAUGGGGGAAACCCUGAUGCAGCGACGCCGCGUGAGUGAAGAAGUAAUUCGUUAUGUAAAGCUCUAUCAGCAGGGAAGAAAAUGACGGUACCUGAGUAAGAAGCCCCGGCUAACUACGUGCCAGCAGCCGCGGUAAUACGUAGGGGGCAAGCGUUAUCCGGAUUUACUGGGUGUAAAGGGAGCGUAGACGGCAGUGCAAGUCUGGAGUGAAAGGCGGGGGCUCAACCCCCGGACUGCUCUGGAAACUGUACGGCUGGAGUGCAGGAGAGGUAAGUGGAAGUCCUAGUGUAGCGGUGGAAUGCGUAGAUAUUAGGAGGAACACCAGUGGCGAAGGCGGCUUACUGGACUGUAACUGACGUUGAGGCUCGAAAGCGUGGGGAGCAAACAGGAUUAGAUACCCUAGUAGUC